GAUGAACGCUAGCUACAGGCUUAACACAUGCAAGUCGCGGGGCAGCAUGGGGGUUGCUUGCACUCCCCGAUGGCGACCGGCGCACGGGUGAGUAACGCGUAUCCAACCUGCCCUUCACCACGGGAUAACCCGGCGAAAGUCGGACUAAUACCGUAUGUUGUCCAUUGACGGCAUCCGAUUUGGACGAAAGGUUUGGCGGUGAAGGAUGGGGAUGCGUCCGAUUAGCUGGACGGCGGGGUGACGGCCCACCGUGGCGACGAUCGGUAGGGGUUCUGAGAGGAAGGUCCCCCACACUGGAACUGAGACACGGUCCAGACUCCUACGGGAGGAAGCAGUGAGGAAUAUUGGUCAAUGGGCGUAAGCCUGAACCAGCCAAGUAGCGUGCAGGAUGACGGCCCUAUGGGUUGUAAACUGCUUUUAUGCGGGGAUAAAGUGGCCCACGUGUGGGUUUUUGCAGGUACCGCAUGAAUAAGGACCGGCUAAUUCCGUG
rnacentral:rRNA from 1 species